GCGGGGGCGCGCGAGGCAGUAAAUAUUUUAAAACGAUCGUUUAAAAUCAACCGUUUGUAUUAUGCCAAUAAAAAUCGUUACCAACAAUAUAUAUGGUGUCAGCUAUCGUGUCAUUGUAUUUUUAGUUGAAAAUAUGGAUCAAUAAAGGAGCUAAAAAUCAGUAAAGUUGAAAAUACAGCCGAAAAUCAGCCCCGUUCGGACGCCGCGAACGCGGCACGCUAUUUUGAAGCCGCCGGGCGGAGACGUCUUCUUCCACUCAAAAGCCACAAACCGCUCGGGCCUGUAGAACUUUGGGAAUGAUUUGAUGUGAAAGGGCAGAGUUCAGGGUUCACGACAGUGGUGGGACGAAAUCGCUACGUCAUCGCUGGCGGGAGGUACGAGUCAGAGAAGUGAAGCGUCCAAAAUGGAUGAAGAAGAGAAAAAUGCAGGAGAGCUGUGCAGAAAUGCAGGAUAGAGUCUUACUGCACAUGAAACUGGCAGCUGUCAAGUUGAGCAUUGACGGAUUCACAAACGGGCCAUUAUUGGAGUUGUUUAACUUUGUCAACAAGACUGGACUCAGAGAAGACACAAAAGUGAUGUGGAUAAAAAAUGUGGAUAAAGAUUGUAAAGAUACCAUUUUAUCUUUAUCAAGUAAAUUUAGCUGUAAUUGAAACAUCCAUAAAUACAUGUACUAAAGUAGUUAGUGUGAAAAUGCAAUUUAAAAGACUAAUUAGCAUAUUGUAAAAGGCUAAUUAGCAUAUUGUUAAUUGAAAUAAUUGUUAGUUAAUUAAGAAAUGAAUAUUGAAUAUUACAGUUUGAGUUUGCUCAUAUGUCAACAGGUUACAGUGACAUUUUUAUUAUACGAAGAAAAGUGACAUGUAUCCUGAUAUGUAUAUAAAUGUUGGUAAUUAGGCUCAUUUGCAUAUUUUGGUAUUUAAUCAUGCUCAUUAAAAUGCUUUGUGUACUUAUAAAGGGAAUUUAUGGCCACAAAAAUACCUUGUUAGUAUAGAGCUCUGUUCACAAUUUGUAUCUUACCUGGGAACCUCGUUACCCGCUAAAAUGAUGUAAUUAUGUAAUCAUUAGCAUAAUUAGGAAAAAAUGUGUAAACUUUUCUAUGUAAAAAGAUGAAAUUAAAGACCUUUGUGGCAAACUGUUUGAUCCUAAUAUGCUGAAAAUUUGAAGAUUGUAGCAUGAAAACUUUAAGAGAUACAAUAAAAUGCAUGUCAGA